GACGAACGCUGGCGGCGUGCUUAACACAUGCAAGUCGAACGGAAAGGCCCUGCUUUUGUUGGGUGCUCGAGUGGCGAACGGGUGAGUAACACGUGAGUAACCUGCCCUUGACUUUGGGAUAACUUCAGGAAACUGGGGCUAAUACCGGAUAGGAGCUCCUGCUGCAUGGGGGGGGUUGGAAAGUUUCGGCGGUUGGGGAUGGACUCGCGGCUUAUCAGCUUGUUGGUGGGGUAGUGGCUUACCAAGGCUUUGACGGGUAGCCGGCCUGGGAGGGUGACCGGCCACAUUGGGACUGAGAGACGGCCCAGACUGCUACGGGAGGCAGCAGUGGGGAAUAUUGCACAAUGGGCGGAAGCCUGAUGCAGCAACGCCGCGUGCGGGAUGACGGCCUUCGGGUUGUAAACCGCUUUCGCCUGUGACGAAGCGUGAGUGACGGUAAUGGGUAAAGAAGCACCGGCUAACUACGUG
rnacentral:rRNA from 1 species